GGAUUUGUCCAUUGGUCGGGCCUCACGGUCCGCACUGGUGUGAUGGGUUCCUACCUUCUGAAUAACCAGCAUGCCAUUUAGUUGGUGCGCCGGGGAAGCAGAGCUAUUACCUUGAAAAAAUUAGAGUGCUUAAAGCAGGCUAUUGCUUGAAUAGAUUAGCAUGGAAUAAUAAAAUAGGACGGCAUGGUUCUAUUUUGUUGGUUUCUAGGAUUGACGUA
rnacentral:rRNA from 1 species